GACGAACCGUGCGAACGUUUAUUCGGAAUCACUGGGCUUAAAGCGUGCGUAGGCGGCUCAGAAAGUUGGGUGUGAAAUCCCUCGGCUUAACCGAGGAAUUGCGCCCAAAACUACUGGGCUUGAGGGAGUUAGAGGUGAGCGGAACUCACGGUGGAGCGGUGAAAUGCGUUGAUAAUCGUGAGGAACACCGGAGGCGAAAGCGGCUCACUGGGGCUUAUCUGACGCUGAGGCACGAAAGCUAGGGGAGCAAACGGG
rnacentral:rRNA from 1 species